rnacentral:rRNA from 1 species
GACGAACGCUGGCGGCGUGCUUAACACAUGCCAGUCGAACGGAAAGGCCCUGCUUUUGUGGGGUGCUCGAGUGGCGAACGGGUGAGAAACACGUGAGUAACCUGCCCUUGACUUUGAGAUAACUUCAGGAAACUGGGGCUAAUACCGGAUAGGAGCUCCUGCUGCAUGGUGGGGGUUGGAAAGUUUCGGCGGUUGGGGAUGGACUCGCGGCUUAUCAGCUUGUUGGUGGGGUAGUGGCUUACCAAGGCUUUGACGGGUAGCCGGCCUGAGAGGGUGACCGGCCACAUUGGGACUGAGAUACGGCCCAGACUCCUACGGGAGGCAGCAGUGGGGAAUAUUGCACAAUGGGCGGAAGCCUGAUGCAGCAACGCCGCGUGCGGGAUGACGGCCUUCGGGUUGUAAACCGCUUUCGCCUGUGACGAAGCGUGAGUGACGGUAAUGGGUAAAGAAGCACCGGCUAACUACGUG